AAGGAUCAUUGUCGAUGCCUAAACCAAUCCGACCAGCGAACGCGUCCAAACACCCGAAGCGUCGGGAGAGGGGCGGUCGCAACCGACCUCACCUCUCCAGGCAAAACCCAAACCCCGGCACCAUACGUGCCAAGGAUCCGAAACACAUUUUUGGUCGACUCCGAAGGACGGCGUCCGACGGAAUCGUCACGAAACGAAUCCAAACGACUCUCGGCAACGGAUAUCUCGGCUCUU
rnacentral:misc_RNA from 1 species